GAUGAAGAACGUAGCGAAAUGCGAUACGUAAUGUGGAUUGCAGAAUUCAGUGAAUCAUCGAAUCUUUGAACGCAUAUUGCGCUCUCUGGUAUUCCGGAGAGCAUGCUUGUUUGAGUAUCAGUAAACACCUCAACUUCCAUAUCUUUUUUUGAAAUGGGAGUUGGACUUGAGUGAUCCCAACGCUUUUCCUCACCGAAAAGUGGCGGGUUACUUGAAAUGCAGGUGCAGCUGGACUUUUCUCUGAGCUAUAAGCAUAUCUAUUUAGUCUGCCUAAAAAACAGAUUAUUACCUUUGCUGCAGCUAACAUAAAGGAGAUUAGUUCUUGUGCUGACUGAUGCAGGAUUCACAAAGACAGCUUCGGCCGACUUUGUAAACUCGAUCUCAAAUCAAGUAAGACUACCCGCUGAACUUAAGCAUAUCAAUAAGCGGAGGA
rnacentral:misc_RNA from 1 species